rnacentral:rRNA from 1 species
AUUGAACGCUGGCGGCAGGCCUAACACAUGCAAGUCGAGCGGUAGAGAGGUGCUUGCACCUCUUGAGAGCGGCGGACGGGUGAGUAAUGCCUAGGAAUCUGCCUGGUAGUGGGGGAUAACGUCCGGAAACGGACGCUAAUACCGCAUACGUCCUACGGGAGAAAGCAGGGGACCUUCGGGCCUUGCGCUAUCAGAUGAGCCUAGGUCGGAUUAGCUAGUUGGUGAGGUAAUGGCUCACCAAGGCGACGAUCCGUAACUGGUCUGAGAGGAUGAUCAGUCACACUGGAACCGAGACACGGUCCAGACUCCUACGGGGGGCAGCAGUGGGGAAUAUUGGACAAUGGGCGAAAGCCUGAUCCAGCCAUGCCGCGUGUGUGAAGAAGGUCUUCGGAUUGUAAAGCACUUUAAGUUGGGAGGAAGGGUACUUACCUAAUACGUGAGUAUUUUGACGCUACCGACAGAAUAAGCACCGGCUAACUCUGUGCCAGCCGCCGCAGUAAUAC